UACGGAGGAUGCAAGCGUUAUCCGGAUUUAUUGGGUUUAAAGGGUGCGCAGGUUGUUUGAUAAGUCAGUGGUGAAAGUCUGCCGCUUAACGGUAGGAUUGCCAUUGAUACUGUUAGACUUGAAUAUGGAUGAGGUAGGCGGAAUGUGUAGUGUAGCGGUGAAAUGCAUAGAUAUUACACAGAACACCGAUUGCGAAGGCAGCUUACUAAUCCAUCAUUGACGCUGAGGCACGAAAGCGUGGGGAGUCAAAUA
rnacentral:rRNA from 1 species